rnacentral:rRNA from 1 species
AUUGAACGCUGGCGGCAUGCUUUACACAUGCAAGUCGAACGGCAGCACGGACUUCGGUCUGGUGGCGAGUGGCGAACGGGUGAGUAAUACAUCGGAACGUACCCAGUAAUGGGGGAUAACUAUCCGAAAGGAUAGCUAAUACCGCAUACGCCCUACAGGGGAAAGAGGGGGAUCGCAAGACCUCUUGUUAUUGGAGCGGCCGAUGGCUGAUUAGCUAGUUGGUGGGGUAAAGGCCUACCAAGGCAACGAUCAGUAGCGGGUCUUAGAGGACGAGCCGCCACACUGGAACUGAGACGCGGUCCAGACUCCUACGGGAGGCAGCAGCGGGGAAUCUUGGACAAUGGGCGCAAGCCUGAUCCAGCAAUGCCGCGUGCGUGAAGAAGGCCUUCGGGUUGUAAAGCGCUUUUGUCAGGGAGCAAAUCCUUGUGGCUAAUACCCACCGGGGAUGAGAGUACCUGAAGAAUAAGGACCGGCUAACUACGUGCCAGCAGCCGCCGCCGUAA